rnacentral:rRNA from 1 species
GACGAACGCUGGCGGCGUGCCUAAUACAUGCAAGUCGAACGCUGAAGGAGGAGCUUGCUUCUCUGGAUGAGUUGCGAACGGGUGAGUAACGCGUAGGUAACCUGCCUGGUAGCGGGGGAUAACUAUUGGAAACGAUAGCUAAUACCGCAUAAUAGUAGAUGUUGCAUGACAUUUGCUUAAAAGGUGCAAUUGCAUCACUACCAGAUGGACCUGCGUUGUAUUAGCUAGUUGGUGAGGUAACGGCUCACCAAGGCAACGAUACAUAGCCGACCUGAGAGGGUGAUCGGCCACACUGGGACUGAGACACGGCCCAGACUCCUACGGGAGGCAGCAGUAGGGAAUCUUCGGCAAUGGACGGAAGUCUGACCGAGCAACGCCGCGGGAGUGAAGAAGGUUGUCGGAUCGGAAAGCUCUGUUGUAAGAGAAGAACGAGUGUGAGAGUGGAAAGUUCACACUGUGACGGUAGCUAAUCAGAAAGGGACGGCUAACUACGUG